UGCGACGGUGGUGAUGGAGGCACGUACGGCGGCGGUCAACGAAUAUAGGUGAAACGGUCGGUAAUGAUGUGGUAAAGGAUCGGUGGAGAAGGAAGGCAAAGGCACGAUAAAUAGUGGAUGUAGAGGGGGAAAAAGUGAAGGAAAGGGACGGAGGUUUGAACUGAUGUCGUGCUCGAUGGUUAGAGGUAAUGGUGGUGGUGCAUAGGUGUAGUGGUCGAAACAGUGAAGGGUAAAGGGAUUUGGGUCAACGAAGAGUAGAGGAGAAAGGGGAAAGGAGAAGGGGGGCUAGUGUGCAAGGUUUGGCCAAUGAAAAUGUAGCAACGAAGGGAGCGAUGGUGCAUGGUGAUCGGACCGGCGAAAG
rnacentral:lncRNA from 1 species